ACAGGGGUGGGACUUAGAGUUCCGUGCUGUUGGGCACCCUUUGGAGGCCGGUACGUUGGCGCCUUGGUCGAAAGAGUAGGUAAGGCGCCGGGUGCGCGCCGAGGAGCGUGGAGUGCCGGAGGACGCGGCCUCGGUCUUCUCAGGAAGGAAGGUUGAGGUUCCCCAAGGAGGAAUUCUGGCCCCUUUUCCUCCGAGCCAAGCCCCCUUCCUGGAUGACCGUGGUCCUGGACAGCGGGGGGUGUUCCAAGGUGGAGGUGAAGGAUGAAGACCUACGCGGAGGAGGCGCCCCCGGCCGGAGCCGAGGAGGGUCUCCCUGAGUUGUGAAGGCUGUCCUCGAACUUGCCAUCCUCUUGCCUUAGCCUCCCGAGUCGCUGUGAUUACAGGGGCGCCUCUGCACCCAGCACAAGUUAAUUAUAUUUCAAUAAAGCUUAUAAACGAUUCUAAAAGAGCUGACAUCUCAUUUUCCAGGUGGCAACGCAGAGGCAGUCUGGAGGACAGGGGGAGGGCCUGCUGACCAGUGUCUGGGCUUCUGAUUGCUCCAGAAGGGUUAAGAACCGGCCAGAGCUGGUUCACCUACUCAUUGGACCCCAGCUCUCCCGGGAAGGGAUACUGUAAGGCAAGGAUCUGAUGGAGGCUCAGAGGUGUGAUCCAAAGGCCAGGGUGGCCCAAGGGAAAGCGAGCCCUCUAAGCCUAUGAGCAAGUGCUCAGGUAGCUUACAGCUCCGUGUAUGGGGUCUGGGGGCAGGACCACGGGGGUCCGGGUGUGACUCGGGUUAUUCACUGUCCUGAGAUGCAGGCCAGGGGGCGUGGCCUGGUGCAAUGGAUGGGGCGGACCCUGGGAUGCUGGGUGUGGCCAGAAAGGGAACUUGAACCACGACUAGAAUCAGACUUGAGCCGCAGGGGCGUGGCCAGGGGUGGAGAGGGAUGCGGGCCUGAAGGGCGUGGCUGGGGGAAGCCACCACUAAGGAAGCACUAAGUGCUGGGCGCUGGGGCGGAGGGCGCAACCUGGGGCGGCGGAGGGUAGGGCUGGACCCGUGGAAAGUGAAGUCCUGGAAGGAGCGCGAGGGGUCGAGGGCGGUGACCCUGAGACGGUGGAUGUGGCCAGGGCUGGAGGCAUGGCCCUACAGGCCGGUGUGCUGGCAGUCCCGGUAGCGCCCCGGAGGAGAGCAGAGGCGGCCGAGCAGAGUGGGUCUGGCGGUUCUGCCCGUCUGGUCUCCGUGGAUCCUUCUGGGGCACCAGUGCUCCCACUGUUCUGUGUGCAGUGGGUGUGCCUGACAGAAUCAAGGGUGUAGCAGGCUGGGGGCGAGGUCCUGUCUCCACCAGGAUGUCCCAUUGCUCCGCACUUAGACUGCCCUCCCUUCCUUGGAACCUUGGCAGGCCACGGAGACGAGUGGGAAAAUUGAGGACCUGAUACUGACCUUGCCGCCUGCCCAACCGGAGGCGAGGUCCCACCUGCUGAAUCUUGCUGUCUUUCCCGUCUCCAGGCUUCCAGCUGCACAGGGCUGCUCCAACCCCUGCUGGCCCACAUCUUCUGCCGCCACCGCCACCGCUGGCCUUGGAACUUCAGCUCCUUUGGUUUCUCCUGUAGGCAAGGACUUCAAGCUGACACUUUGAAACUGCCUGCCUUCCAUACCUGUGCCUAGGGGUUGAGCUGGGAUCCUUGGCAGGCUGACUCUCGGAAAAGCAGCCUUCCCAAUUCCAGGAGGAGUGUCCAGGGCUGGGCUCUGCCAAGCUAAGAGCAGCCUCUAGAGGGCCGGACCCAGGGCCCUACGCCAGAGUGACUAAGGACUCCUCCGGGCUCAGCUUCCGUGACCACCGACUUGAAGCCCUCCAGAUGUCCUAGAGCGGCGCCCCGGAGGGGUUACUGUAAGAUCCUUACAUUGAUGCCCAAACCUGGGACGGGGGAUCUCCCUGUCACCCAAGGCAGAACCGGCUCCCAAACUCUGAGCCCAACUGUUCCUGUCGUAGUCCACUCCUCUGAUCACCUGCCUGACAUCCACCACUGACUCGCGGAUCGUUCCUCCUCAGGGAUUACCAGCUACUUGCCAAUGAGCUGGACAACACUUAUGUCUACUCAUACUGAAAAGCCUCCACCAAGUGCUGAAAGACGAAGAUACCAAAUGACAACUCCACCGAAGGGCCAUCUCUACCCCACCAUUCCAAAGAAAUAAGCCCUUGGUUUUUAGCCAUAUAUGUUCUAACCUGCCUUCUCCUGAGCAUAGGUCUUUUUAUCUACCAGCCCUGGAUGACAUGGAUGACAUGCCAGAAAUUAAUGCUGUCUCUUUUGUUCCUUUUCGUAGCUGCAGAUUUGUGGCUUGCACUGUACCUCUGAUCCUCCUCUUAAUGAAGAUGACACCUGUUACCCUCCGAUGCAUGCAAUUCUUACAAGCCCUAGGGGAAGAUAGUUGGCUUAUCUCUCCCCCUGGGCCACCCCAAUGAAUGGCUCAUUAUAUCCAACAAUUUGUGGUUGCAGGGCACGUUCAUGGACUUCUCCCCGGAGGAAAUCCAUGCUUUCAGCACAUGGAUGUGGGGCCUCCUGGCCCUCCUUCUCCAACCAACUGACCUCCCUCCCUCUAAACAACACCCCUACUCAGCAGGAAGAAGCCAGAACUAGUAUGAUGCCCCCAAACCAAAACAAAAAAGGGAGGAAUGUUGGUAAAGAUGGCGCCCGAAGUGCAUCUCUUCCGGGAGUUCAGGUCCAUGAUGCACUGAAUGGCGUGAACUACCACCUAAGUGGCACAAACCAUCACCUCCAAUCCCUGAAAUGGCGCAAACUGUGACCUCCCACCCCUAGGAGACUAAUACCCUGUCCUGCCCAGAAAUGGACCCUUGGUCAAUAAAGAAGUAACAGCCAACUCCCCAUGCUCAUUCUCUCUCUCCCCCACUUCUUCUCUUCUGUGACCGGCUGCUACGGUCCCACUAAUAAAAUCUUGGACAGGUAAAUGGUUGUUUGGCUUGUUAAAUUUACGGAGCUUUCCUGCCGCUCCUUACAGUUACCAGGGGUACUUAACCACUGAGCCACAUCCCCAGCCCUUUUUACUUUGAGACAUGGUCUCUAAAUUGCUGAGGCUGACCUUGAACUUGUGAUCUCCUGCCUCAGCCUCCUGAGAUCCUGGGAUUACGGGCUGUGCCACUGCACUGAGCCAGAUUCAGUAAUUCUUCAUUUUUGCUAUAUUUAUAAUUUCUCUUUUUUCCUUCCUGUGUGCCUUCUCUUCCCUGCUUUUCUUCUUUUUGGUGGUGGUGGUCAGGGGAGCAUUUUUUUUUUUUUCCUGUAGUGCUGGGGAUUGAACCCAGGGCGUUGUGCAUGCAAGACAAGCACUCUACCAACUGAGCUAUGUCCCCAGCCCUAUUGUUUUAAAAGAUCUGAUUCUAGAUGUUUUUAAUCACUCCACAUGCUUGUUUGAUGUUCCCGUUGAACUCUGGUCACCUUGGCCUCCCAGCUCCAUCUUCUUGAGUCAAUUCUGUCAGGUGCCUCCUGGUGCCAGUGGGUGGAGUUUUUUCUAGCUUCACCUUGAUACAGCAGGGAUAGCUCUUUGGGGCUGCAGCUUCCACUGCCACCCUAGAAUCACCCCAACUUCAUCAUCUCUGCAGAGGCUGUAAGCAGACCUCACAGCUGCCAAAGCACCAGUUUCCAGGCGUGGCACUCUUGAGUUUCUUUAUUUUUUGGUUAUACAUGAUUGUAGAAUGUAUUGUGACAUACAAUACAUACAUGGGAGUAUAACUUCCCAUUCUUGUGGUUAUACACAGAGUUUCUUUUGUCCUCAUUUUUAACCAUGGGGGUGUCCCCUCACUGUCUGGAUGCUCAGCCAACCUGCUGUGGAUCCUGCUAACAUCUUAGUUUCAGGGUCUAUAGUAAAUAAAGGCCAAAUUAGGCCAGCCCUGCCAAAAUCUUCCCUCCCCCACAAACAUGGUAUGUUUGGGCAUUUUGAGAGGGACCUCACUGUGGGCUCUCCAGUAGGUGAGGAAGGAGAUUUUUGUUUGUUUGUUUUUUACAGUAUUGGAGAUUGAACCUACCACUGAACUACUUCCCCAGCCCUUUUUAUCUGUUUUUUAUUUUGAGACAAGGUCUUCCUAAGUUAUCCAGGCUGGCCUCUUGCCUCAGCCUCUCAAGCUGCUGAAAUUAUAGAUGUGCACUCUAUGUCCAGCAAUAAAUUAUUUAACCCAGCAUAUUCCUGAACAGAACAAGGCUGAGUGCUGUGUAGUGUUUCCUUUUCUCCCUCCCUCCCUCUCUCUUCCUUCCCAAAACAUCCUAGACACGUAUUCUGCAUCAUUUGCUAGAGAGAAAAGGUGUAAGAGUGGCACAUGCCUGUGAUCCCACUAUUCAGGGAUCACAGGCUGAGGUAGGAGGAUAUAAGUUCAAGGCUAGGCUGGGUAAUUUAGCAAGACCCUGUCUCAAAAAAAAAAAAAAAAAAAAAAGAGCCAGGUGUGGUGGUGCAUGCCUGUAAUCCCAGCAGCUUGGGAGGCUGAGGGAGGAGGAUCAUGAGUUCAAAGCCAGCUUCAGCAACUUAGUGAGGCACUAAGCAACUCAGUGAAACCCUGUCUGUAAAUAAAAAAAUACAAAAUUGGGCUGGAGAUGUGGUUCAGUGGUUGAGUGUCCCUGAGUUCAAUCCCUAGUAUUAAACAUAAAAAAGGGCUGGAAAUGUAGCUCUGUGGUAGAGUGUUUGCCUAGCACGGGUGAGGCCCUGGGUUCAAUCUCAAUACCAAACAAACAAAAAACCCUCACAGAAUAAUAAAGGGCAUAUGACAGACUCUGGCUACAAAGAGCUCCCAGCAUAAUGUAGAAGUAGGUAGAAAAAGUGAAACAAGAUGGUUGCUAUGGUGAUGCAGAAUACAAGAGUGGAAGCUACUCCUUAGAUCAGAUGCUGUGCCGGAGGUCAGAAAGAGAUCAUAGUCCUUCAGAUAAGCCACUGCCACCUCCAUGAUUUGCAGAUCCUUCCACUGGGACUACAUCCAGAAGAGGUUCUGGCUUUAAGAAAUUUAUAGCAUGAGACAUAAAACAAGUUAGGGGGAAUAAGUGGAGCAAACCACAGAAACAGUGUCAAACCAAACACAAACAUGACCCCAAGUUCCCUAAGAAAACACUAAGGGGCUGAGUAUGUGGCUCAAUAGCACAUCCUAACAAGUGCAGGGCCCUGGGUUCAUCCCCAGCACUGAAAUACAAAACAACACAGUAAGAGCAGAGGCAUUAAGGAAGGGAUUUUGAAAGGUGAUCUGAUGGUGCUGGGGAUGGAACCCAGGGCUUCAUAUAUGACAGGCAAAUCCUCUACCACAUAGCUGUAUCCUGGUCCCAAAGGGUGAUGUCCCACUGGGCAUGGAGGGAAUUAAGUAGAGGAUAGAAAAGAUUCUUCCUACAGACUCAGAAUGGAAAUCAAGGUUUCAAGGGCCCUCAUGCCCUUAGACUCUCAGUGAAACUCUUUCUUAAAAAGUUAAGAUUACUAGUGACCCAGCAAUGCAAAUGAGACAUUUAAAAGAACUGAAAGGUUAGGUUCACAAAACAGAUUAUAGUUACGUGUUUAUAGGUACUUUAUUCUUAUAUACUAUAAAUGGGAACACUCAAGAAUCCCUUAAUGGAGGAAUGGUUGAACAGCUCCAUCCAUAUAUCCAUAACAUGGAAUGCUGCUGGGCAGUAAAAAGAAUGAACUACAGAUACAUGCAACAACAUGGGUGACUCUCCAAUAUAUUCAGUAAAAAACACCAGAUUGAAAUGGCUCCACAGGAUGAGAUUCUGGGAAUGGUGAAGCCAUGGCAACAGAAAACAAAGCAGGGUAUGCAGGGGUUAGGGCUUCCCGUUUGGGCAUGGAGAGCUGUGGGUGCUGAGGCAGGUUGUAUGCUUGAUUGUGGCGACUGCACACCAUGUGACUCUGAAACCCACAGAGCUGUAUGCUAAAGAGUGAAUCUUAUUGUAUGUAAACUGUACUCAAGAAGGUUGGCCUUUGGGGUUGGGGUGUAGCUCAGUGGUAGGUCACUUGCCUAUAUGCACAAGGCCCUGGGCUCUAUCCCUAGCACUUCAAAACACGCAAACAAACAAAGAAAAACAAAAAUAACAACAAGCCUGGUUGUUUCUUGGUGUGUCUUAACUGCAGUUAUUUCCUCUCCUAUUUUCUUCGAGCAUUGUGAGGAUUUUCUUUCCUUUUUGCAGCUCUUGAGAAUGGGGCUUCAUGGCAGCUUGGCCUCAUUGGCCCCGAGGCCUCUGCUCAAUUGCAGAUCUCAGAACUGAAAACACAUCAAUCUUCACUCUACAAGUGCCCAAACUGGGCUCCAAGGGAGGAAGGACACCCUGCCUGCAGGCUGAGCCAUCAUUUAGAGGGGGCUUCUCUCCAACAUGAGCUACCUGAUGUUGAGUAAGGUCUGAACCCUCGCUGACAGCCUUUCCACAUUCUUGACAUUUAUAUGGUUUCUCCCCAGCGUGGCGGCUUCUCUGGUACUCAACGGGUUGUGGGGUAGGGCUGAAAGUCUUCCCACAUUCACUGCACCCCAGGGAUUUCUCACCAGUGUGGAUUGUCCAGUGCAGAAUGAGGUCUGCACCAUGGCUGAAGGCUCUGCCACGUCGCUCUCCAGUGGGCAUCAGGCUGGGGCCACCCUUUCUACGCUGGCGAGGAUUAUCUCCCGUGUGAAUGUGCUGAUGCUGUGUGAGGGUUGACCUCCGGCUAAAGGCCUUCCCACAGGCCCGGCACUCGUAGGGCUUCUCGCCAGUGUGGACACGCUGGUGCAGGGUGAGUUGGGAGCUCUGGCUGAAGGCUUUCCCACACUCAGAGCACUGAUAUGGCUUCUCCCCUGUGUGCACUCUGCGAUGCUGCACCAGAGUGGAACUCCGGCUGAAGGCCCUGCCACACUCACCACACACAUAAGGCUUCUCUCCAGUGUGAAUCCGUGUAUGUUCAGUAAGGUGAGAAUUGAAACCAAAGGCCCGGCCACACUCCUGGCACACGUAGGGCUUUUCUCCAGUGUGGACCCUAUGAUGGAGGAAAAGGCUGGAGCUCUGGCUGAAGGCCUUGCCACACUGACUGCACUUGUGGGGCUUCUCCCCAGUGUGGAUCCUCUGGUGCUGAAUGAGGCUGGAGCUCCGGCUGAAGGCCUUGCCACACUGACUGCACUUGUGCGGCUUCUCCCCAGUGUGGAUCCUCUGGUGCUGAGUUAACUGGGGGCUCUGGCUGAAGGCUUUGCCGCACUCCUCACACUUGUGAGGCUUCUCUCCUGUGUGAAUGACGCGAUGCUGAAUGAGGCUGGAGCUUCGACUGAAGGCUUUCCCACAUUCACUGCACCCAAAGGGUCUUUCUCCAGUGUGAAUUCUCCGAUGCAGAAUGAGGUAGGAAUUGAGCCCAAAAGUCUUCCCACAUUCUUCACAUUUAAACGGUUUGCUGCCAGUGUGGACUCGGCGGUGCAGGAUGAGGCUCGCGCUGUGUGUGAAGGCUCGCCCACACCAACUGCACUCAUAGGGCUUUUCCCCUGUGUGGCGCCUAUGAUGUCGACGGAGGUCUGAAUUAUAUUUGAAGGUUUUGCUGCAUAUAUCACAUUUAAAGACUCUCUCUCCUGUUUUAUUCCUUUGAAGUCUAACAACAUUUUGGUUUGGAUUUAAAUGUCUAUCAACAUUUAAAGAACACUCCUGGACACUCUCUCUUGGAGGCUGCUCCCUACAUAGGACAGAUUCCUCUCUAAAAACUCUCUUGUGCAGAUGGGGUUUCUUCAGACUCUGGCCAGCAGUGUUUCCCAGGCUCCCUUUUCCCUUCCCCUCCAGGUCCCAAGGAUCCUGGAACACAGGUGUCUGUGAAUUGGCCCUUGAGAAUCUUCUUGAUACAAAUGCUGGGCUCUUCACAUCUUCAGAACACUCCUGGUUUAAAAUGGACAGUUCCUUCUCAGUCCCAGUAUCAGAAUCUGUUACACAAAACAUAAAGGAAUUACUAGAGGACACCACUGUUCAGCAACACUCUUACACAGAUCCUUACUUGGAAGGCAGAUGUUCCAGUAGCAGAUGUGCUAUGCAUGACUCAGGAGCGCAAGAGGCAAAAUGGCCAGUCACAGGAUGAAAGCUCAGUCCACCAGGUACCACAGGAGGGAAACUCAAGCAAAUUAUGAUUUUUUCACCUAUCAAACUAGCAAAUGAAUCUGCCAACAGGCUGCUCCAGGUAAGGAACACAAUAGGAAGCCAGAGAGCCUCUGGUCUCAGGAAGCUCACUGUAUAUUGAGGAAGAAAAUCAAAUACUUUUUUUUUUUUUUUUAAAUGAAAUAACACAGAGGCUGGGAUUGUGGCUCAGCGGUAGAACGCUCACCUAGCACUUGCGAGGCCCUGGGUGCGGUCCUCAGCACCACAUAAAAAUAAAUAAAAUAAAGGCAUUUUGUUCAACUACACCUAAAAAAAAUAAUAUUAAAAAAAUGAAAUAACACGGAUAAUGGAAACUAUUGAAAAUACAGAACCAUCUCCUGCAGCCUAUGUGGUCAGAAGAUCCCAGGAGCAUGCGUGGCUUCAGAGGGAGCAAGAGCCAAUGGGUCAGCAGUUGCAGAAGGCAGGCCUGGGUGAGAUGGAGAACCACCAAGUCCAGGAAUGCAAGGAGCCUGCCACGGCUAGAGCAAGAAGGCGGGUGGAGGUUGCUGUGCUGCGUUGAUUCCCACACAGAGAAGUAAAGGAAUAAUUCCUGUCCUGUACUGUGGGAUGGACUAUAAAUAAAUAGAGCUUUUUAAAGGGAAAGUUGGUAACACAUAGCAAAAGAAUUAAUAUUACACACCUUUGUUCCCAAAAUUGUUCUUCAAGAGUCUAUGCUAAGUCAACUGUCAUUUGCACAAAGAAAUGAUUAUUAUGACCAUCCCUGAAAUGUUCUCCCUAAUUAUGGGGAAACAAGAAAGAAUUCAAAUAUUCAAAAAACAGAGGACAGGGCUGGGUGUGGCACAGUGAUAGAGCACUUGCCUGGCAUGCAGGAGGCCCUAGGUUUAUCUCCAGCACUGCAGAAAAAAAGAAAGAAAAAAAAAGAGUAUUGUUUAAGUCAGCGAUAGACAAGUCAUAUAAUGGAAUACCUUUCUGACAUUAUAAUUAUAUAAUAGAAUAUAUAGUUAAAGGAAAAGUCUAUGACAUAAACUGAAAAAUCAGUUUCUAAAAUAAUACACACAGCAUAAACCAACUUUAACUGAAAAUACAUAUGGAAGAUAAGUGCUAUUUCUUCCUUAAAUGUUUGGUAUAAGCUGGCGAAACCAUCUGGGCUUGGCAUUUUCUCUGAGAUAGGAAUUUUAUUUACUGAACCAAUUUCUUUAAUACUUAAAAGAUCAUGUAUUAAUGCUUUCUUGUGUCAACCUUGACAAAUUGUGUUUUCUGGGCAAACUGUGUUUUAUCUCCAUAUUAAAACUUCUUGGCAUUAAA